GGAGGUUUAGUUCAGUGUUAGAAUGCAUACUUAGCAUGCACGAGGUCCUAGGUUCAAUCCCCAGUACCUUUG
rnacentral:tRNA from 1 species